UAGUCCACGCCGUAAACGAUGAUCACUAGACGUCAGCUCUGUUUUGCAGGGUUGGUGUCGCAGCUAACGCGUUAAGUGAUCCGCCUGGGGACUACGAUCGCAAGAUUAAAACUCAAAGGAAUUGACGGGGGCCCGCACAAGCGGUGGAACAUGUGGUUUAAUUCGACACUACGCGAGGAACCUUACCUAGGCUUGACAUGUACUUGAUCGCUGUAGAAACACAGUUUUUUGGGCUUCGGUUCAAACAGGUACACAGGUGCUGCAUGGUUGUCGUCAGCUCGUGUCGUGAGAUGUUGGGUUAAGUCCUCUAACGAGCGCAACUCCUACUGUUAGUUGCUAUUUGUUUUUACAAAGCACUCUAAUGGGACUGCCUGGGAAACCAGGAGGAAGGUGGGAAUGACGUCAAAUCAUCAUGGUCCUUAUGCCUAGGGCUACACACGUGUUACAAUGGUCGGUACAAAGGGCUGCAAGCUCGUAAGGGCAAGCUAAUCCCAAAAAGCCGAUCUAAGUUCGGAUUGGGGU
rnacentral:rRNA from 1 species